UGGUUGAUAUGCAGUUAUAUUUGACAAUUGUUUUUAUUAUAUUUAAAAUGACAAAUGGCAGCCUUGAGUUAUUUAAUUUUCAGAGGUAUGGAAGGAAGCAGAGGGUUCUUGCAUCAAUUGUGGGCAGCAUCAGGAAACUUCUGGCAGAAUUUAUGGGACAGUGUGUAUGAAUUGUUUGGAAGGAAUGAUUUUGCAGUAGGAGUUAUAGGAUCGAUUUUAUUCACUUAUUGUGUAAUAUGGGGUGCAAAUGCUCUAUUUCUAGUACUAGAUGUAACAGGAAAAGUUUUAUGUUGAAGUAUAAAGUUCAGAUGGACCAAAAUUUAGCUGUAAAUAAUACUACUCACUGGUUUGGCCUCAAUAUACAUUUGCCUUUCC